rnacentral:rRNA from 1 species
UGGGGAAUAUUGCACAAUGGAGGGAACUCUGAUGCAGCGACGCCGCGUGAACGAAGAAGGCUUUCGAGUCGUAAAGUUCUUUUAUAUGGGAAGAUAAUGACGGUACCAUAAGAAAAAGCCCCGGCUAACUACGUGCCAGCAGCCGCGGUAAUACGUAGGGGGCUAGCGUUGUCCGGAAUCACUGGGCGUAAAGGGUUCGCAGGCGGAAAUGCAAGUCAGAUGUAAAAGGCAGUAGCUUAACUACUGUAAGCAUUUGAAACUGCAUAUCUUGAGAAGAGUAGAGGUAAGUGGAAUUUUUAGUGUAGCGGUGAAAUGCGUAGAUAUUAAAAAGAAUACCGGUGGCGAAGGCGGCUUACUGGGCUCAAUCUAACGCUGAGAAACGAAAGCGUGGGUAGCAAACAGG